AAUGUAGUGCCUGAUUUUAAAAGGAUUAUCUUGAUAGGAUAAAUCACGUGUUUUUGACACCUCCAUUA
rnacentral:tRNA from 1 species